rnacentral:lncRNA from 1 species
CAUUCUCCUCUUUUUCUUGGGUACUCCCUCCAUAAAAUUUUUCAAUAGUCACUUCCCCCCCACCUUUCUUCUUGGAGGCUUGAUUUUGGGACAUGUGAGCCAUCCCUUUGGUGGUUUUAUUCCACUUUAUCUUUUUGGUCUGGGGUCUGUGUGAUAUGGGUGGGAUUUCUGUGAAUUUAGGUUGCUUCAGACUUGUUCUUCCCUGCCUCUGAGGUUUCUUAGAGUGCAGGGCCCCUGUGUUCAGCCCAACCACCCAUGCAAUCAGUGCCGCCUGCCCAGGUGUUCAGCUCCUCCCAGGUGCUCAGCGCAACUGCCCCGGAGUUCAGUUCCUCAGCCCCCUGUGCUCAGUGCAGGAUUCUCCCGUGAAACCGCUCUGAGAGGUAAUUUCUUUGCAGUCUUUAGAUCCCAACGUCCCUGAUGUGCCCCCUCCCCCAGACAGAGAUGCUCCUCACUCACUCACUGUCCCAGUGAGCACUCUGAUAGUUUACUCUGGUUUAGUGGGGGGGAGGGGCGGCUCAGUCCAUGUUUUUGUGUGAGCUUUUCCUCCUCCUUAUAAUGUGGAAAUGUUCAAACCCCAUGUUCCUUUGUUUCUGUGGGGUACUGGAGAGUCCCUCCAUUCUUCCAAAGUGAUUUUCAUGCUCUUUUGAGGUAGUCUAUUUUGUUCAGUGCUGGGGAGGGGAAGCAAUUCACAUGUAGAUUGCAGCCAUGUUUACCUAGAAGUCAUAAUGAAUAACUCUUGUGAUCACUUGCUGGAGUAUUUUUGCUAGUAUCGUAUUUAAGAUUUUGGCAUCUAUGUUCAUUAAGGAGAAUGGUCUAUAGUUUUCUUUCUCUGUUCAGACCCCAGACCAAAAAAAGUUCAGUAUAGUUUCAUUAUCUAUUACCUCCUUCAACUCCACUAGGUUCUCCUUUAGAAAUUUGGAUGCUAUACCAUUUGAUGCAACAUGUUGAUUACUGAUAUUUCCUUAUUGUCUAUGCUGCCUUUUAUCAGGAUAUAAUUAUGUACCCUAUCUCUUUUAAUCAGAUUUAUUUUUACUUUUGCUUUGUCAGAAAUGAUUACAACUCCUGCCUUCUUUUUCCCUGUUCAGGACUAAUAGAUUUUGCUCCAACCUUUAAUUCUAACCAUGUUGUCUAUAUAAGUAGGAGGUGAAGAGAUGAAGAGUCCUGCUUCUAGACUGCCUUCUUGUUUACCUGGAGGAGAAGCAAAUUUUUAAAAAGGG